GAUAAACGCUGGCGGCGUGCCUAAUACAUGCAAGUCGAGCGAACGGACGAGAAGCUUGCUUCUCUGAUGUUAGCGGCGGACAGGUGAGUAACACGUGGAUAACCUACCUAUAAGACUGGGAUAACUUCGGGAAACCGGAGCUAAUACCGGAUAAUAUUUUGAACCGCAUGGUUCAAAAGUGAAAGACGGUCUUGCUGUCACUUAUAGAUGGAUCCGCGCUGCAUUAGCUAGUUGGUAAGGUAACGGCUUACCAAGGCAACGAUGCAUAGCCGACCUGAGAGGGUGAUCGGCCACACUGGAACUGAGACACGGUCCGGACUCCUACGGGAGGCAGCAGUAGGGAAUCUUCCGCAAUGGGCGAAAGCCUGACGGAGCAACGCCGCGUGAGUGAUGAAGGUCUUCGGAUCGUAAAACUCUGUUAUUAGGGAAGAACAUAUGUGUAAGUAACUGUGCACAUCUUGACGGUACCUAAUCAGAAAGCCACGGCUAACUACGUGCCAGCAGCCGCGGUAAUACGUAGGUGGCAAGCGUUAUCCGGAAUUAUUGGGCGUAAAGCGCGCGUAGGCGGUUUUUUAAGUCUGAUGUGAAAGCCCACGGCUCAACCGUGGAGGGUCAUUGGAAACUGGAAAACUUGGGUGCAGAAGAGGAAAGUGGAAUUCCAUGUGUAGCGGUGAAAUGCGCAGAGAUAUGGAGGAACACCAGUGGCGAAGGCGACUUUCUGGUCCGUAACUGACGCUGAUGUGCGAAAGCGUGGGGAUCAAACAGGAUUAGAUACCCUGGUAGUCCACGCCGUAAACGAUGAGUGCUAAGUGUUAGGGGGUUUCCGCCCCUUAGUGCUGCAGCUAACGCAUUAAGCACUCCGCCUGGGGAGUACGACCGCAAGGUUGAAACUCAAAGGAAUUGACGGGGACCCGCACAAGCGGUGGAGCAUGUGGUUUAAUUCGAAGCAACGCGAAGAACCUUACCAAAUCUUGACAUCCUUUGACAACUCUAGAGAUAGAGCCUUCCCCUUCGGGGGACAAAGUGACAGGUGGUGCAUGGUUGUCGUCAGCUCGUGUCGUGAGAUGUUGGGUUAAGUCCCGCAACGAGCGCAACCCUUAAGCUUAGUUGCCAUCAUUAAGUUGGGCACUCUAAGUUGACUGCCGGUGACAAACCGGAGGAAGGUGGGGAUGACGUCAAAUCAUCAUGCCCCUUAUGAUUUGGGCUACACACGUGCUACAAUGGACAAUACAAAGGGCAGCGAAACCGCGAGGUCAAGCAAAUCCCAUAAAGUUGUUCUCAGUUCGGAUUGUAGUCUGCAACUCGACUACAUGAAGCUGGAAUCGCUAGUAAUCGUAGAUCAGCAUGCUACGGUGAAUACGUUCCCGGGUCU
rnacentral:rRNA from 1 species